UUAAAUGAAUUGACGGGACCGCACAAGCGGUGGAUGAUGUGGUUUAAUUCGAUGCAACGCGAAAACCUUACCCACCUUUGACAUGGCAGGAAGUUUCCAGAGAUGGAUUCGUGCUCGAAAGAGAACCUGCACACAGGUGCUGCAUGGCUGUCGUCAGCUCGUGUCGUGAGAUGUUGGGUUAAGCCCCGCAACGAGCGCAACCCUUGCCAUUAGUUGCUACGAAAGGGCACUCUAAUGGGACUGCCGGUGACAAACCGGAGGAAGGUGGGGAUGACGUCAAGUCCUCAUGGCCCUUAUAGGUGGGGCUACACACGUCAUACAAUGGCCGGUACAAAGGGUCGCAAACCCGCGAGGGGGAGCCAAUCCCAUAAAGCCAGUCGUAGUCCGGAUCGUAGUCUGCAACUCGACUACGUGAAGUCGGAAUCGCUAGUAAUCGUGGAUCAGAAUGUCACGGUGAAUACGUUCCCGGGUCUU
rnacentral:rRNA from 1 species